CUGGAGUCUCGAGGAGAACGGGUGAGCGCGGAGUCCACCAUGUCAUGGACAAUCACCUGUGCCAUCAUACAAGAGGGUAGCCUCAACCAUGUCGUGAUAUACUGAAACCUGUGAAGGAAGGGCAGGAACUCUACAUUUAAUGUCUUUGACUCCUGG